AUGUGUUAUUUCGAAGUGUGCAGCACCUCCAAAAAAGAGGUGAAAUAUGGUCAUUCUGUAGCACAGAAGAUAAUCUUCCAGUACACAAUUCCAGUGAAAGAUACAACAUACUGGAAAGGCAGUGGGCUUGGUAAAGUCGCCAGCCAGCCAGCUUACAUGAUGUCUCCUGCUGACCAAUCCAUGAAGAAACAGUUAUCCCUGACAGAAGCUGUUUGUUUUAUUUCAAAGCCUCAGUGGUCCCGGCUCCUUCCUGCCCAAGAGCAGCAGCAGUAAACUCCAUUCUUCCUCCUUGCCUGGCCCUUGGAAGAGAUUGCCUGCUGGCCCACGAGAAUGGUUUUCUGUAAUUGGCUUCUAGGGAAUGCUGUAUGGGAGUAU
rnacentral:lncRNA from 1 species